CUGCCUUCCAUCUUCCUCUCCUCCCUCUUCAUCUUCCUCUUUCUCCACCACCUCCUUUUCUUCCUUACAAGAUCUUCCUCCUCCCCAGACCCACUCUCCCAGUGCAAUGGGUCCAUUUUGAAGGCUUUAGUCUCUCAAAGAAAGUCGGAGAAUUGAAAAAGCAGGUGGCAGCAUAAAGUACAUGGUUCUGGUACAUUCAUGGAAUCUUCUUAGAGGCAUCUUCCUCUUCAGGCUCCUCAAAGGAUGGCUCUAAUCUUUAGCAGGAUGAAAUGGAGGAUAUGCUUGUGGUUAGGACCUUAAAUAUUGACUACUAUGGUUGGAGUCAUCUCCUAUCUAUUCUUGAUGGUGUAAAGCAUAUAUGUAAAAGAUAUGUGAAUAGACCUUUACAUAGUUUUAUUGACAUUAAUGAAAAAACCCUAAAAGGUGCUAAACAUUAUAUCUAAUGUUCUCUAAU